UGACAGUUUUUUUACUAGUGAACGACUGACGUUUGACAUUCGAUUGAGAGUGUUCUGUGUUCCAUUUGUUUAUGUUUUUAUUCUUUGUUUAUAUAAUUUAUAACCUAAACCUAGACAGUUUUGUUUUUAUUUUAAAUAAAACUGAAACUGUCUUAAACUAAAAUGGAUAAUAUUCUUGAAGAACUUUUGUUUGGGGACGAAAUUAGCAAAUGCCGUUAUACAUUUAGCAGAUGUACCUACCUCAAAUUAUUCCAGAAGGAUGAGAUGAAAUUAAAUAUAUAUAAACCAUAAUUCAAUAUCCAAUUUAGAGAACAUUUUCGUAUGUCCAGAACUACUUUCCAGGAACUAUUUAAUUGUAUUGGUCAUAUCCACCAAUUUGAAAACAGAAUAAUUCUAUUGGAAAAAAUUAAUGUUUAUGAUGUGGAUGCUAAGUAAACCAGAUAAUUUGUUGCUGGGGAUACGUUUGGUUUGCCAAAGAGCUCUGGACAUAAGAUUUUCACCCAAAUAAUAUAGAAUUACAAAAAAUUGGAAAUAACUAAUCUUGAAUAUCAAUGUGUAUAUUGAGUUUAAUUUUAAUGUAAAUAUUCUAUAAUAUAAUUUUAUUGUAAAUAUUAUAUUAACACAUUUGUGGACACAUUUUCAUAUGCAGACAGUAAUUUCCCUUUGUAAGUACAUGCAUAUAUAGUCGUAUCUGCGAAUGGGUUAAUUGUAAAUCGUAAUCAAUAAAAAUUUUUUGUGAAUCAAUAAAAAACUGGUUUGUUUGAAAAUAAAUGUAGUACAAAUGUGGUUAUAAUAUUUAUUUUCAUGCUUAGAUAAAAACUAAAUGUAUUGUAACACAACCUUUCAUAUAUCUUCCUCCUCCAUUGUUAAGCAGAAUUUGUUAACAAGAAUUGUCCCUCCAUUCUUUUUUUAAUAAGAGGAAUUUCUUCCUUAG
rnacentral:lncRNA from 1 species